rnacentral:rRNA from 1 species
GCUUAACACAUGCAAGUCGAGCGAGAAUCGUUUUGCUGAAGGCUUCGGUCUGACGCAGAAUGAGGAAAGCGGCGAACGGGUGAGUAACGCGUGGGCAACCUGGCCUUAAGAAAAGGAUAGCCCCCGGAAACGGGGAGUAAUACUUUAUGAGAAUGAAAGAGGGCAUCCUACUUUCAUUCAAAGCGCAAGCGCUUAAGGAUGGGCCCGCGUAUCAUUAGCUAGUUGGUGAGAUAACAGCCCACCAAGGCAACGAUGAUUAGCCGGUCUGGGAGGGCGAACGGCCACAUUGGAACUCAGAGACGGUCCAAACUCCUACGGGAGGCAGCAGUGGGGAAGAUUGCGCAAUGGAGAAGAACUCUGACGCAGCAAUACCGCGUGAGCGAAGAAGGUCUUCGGAUCGUAAAGCUCUGUUAUCAGGGAAGAAGAAAAUGACGGUACCUGAUGAGCAAGUCCCGGCUAACUACGUGCCAGCAGCCGCCGUAA